UCAAGGUAUCCUACUUUUGCCAAAUCCAGGUCUUUUCGGUGACAAAGCUGAAAGAAUAAAAAUCAACGGAGACAUGGGGUAGGGGAGAAAGGAAAAAGUCAAAGGGCAGAAAGGAGGGGAGAGGGACACAGGUGAACAGGGAAAGAUAAGAGGGACGGAAGUAGAGCAGAUAAAGCCAUUAUAUUCUGUAAAAGUCCCACGUAGCAACAGUGUACAUGGGCCAGAGUACUAAAGAAUCCUGGCCUUUCCAAAAUUGCUUUCAAGUCUUUCUGGAUGGGAAAUACUGGGAAAGUUAGAAUUAGGUAAUUGGCUAAAUGUGACUAUUUUGCCUGCUUAGCCUUUCAUCAGGUUGCUGAGUCACCUUGUACUACACUAAGGGACAAGUGGUAUAAUUAGGAAUUUACCUUAGCCCCAUGCACAAAACAAAGAUGAGACUGGUGUCUUAAGAUAACUGGCUUCCGGGGUUAUCAAUUUCUAAAUUAAUAUUGAUGGAAGGUGGGGGGAAGGGAAAAAGGUGGAGGAAGGAGAAGGUAGACGGAAAGGCAAGUACUUAAGUUACUGGUUCAGUAAAGGAGGAUGGCAUUAAAGACAUCAACCAACCAGUUCUUCACUCACUUUCACUGUUAAAGAAGCUGUGUUUCUCAUACAACUUUCUGGCCACUCAAUUCUUCUUUAUCCUCUAAUGUACGUCAACAUACCACAAGACCACUAAUGCUCAUCACUGCAGAUUCUGAAAUGCUGAAAUGUACCAAAAAUAAACCCCACCUACUAUUUGGUUAUCAUAACCUCCAAACUUCCAACACUAGGUCAACUACAGCUAACCGACAAAGAAUGGUACCAGAAAACCAGAUACCAUACCAUAUCAGUCUUCAAAUUACGUUAUCUUAGAAUCUUUAACAACUGAGGAGAGAGAGCUUUACUUUCCUAACAAGCUAGAGUCAAAACACCAAGAAAAUCUCUAAUAUACUAGUGGAAUAAAACCUUUUUCAGUUUCAUAUUAACCUGUGAACUACUACUGAUUCAGAACUUAGUAGACUGUCACUGAAUUAUGCCCUAAUUUUUUAUUGGAAGGGGAUAGGGUUAAAGUUCAGUUGACUAUUUCUGAGAGACUCUAACUUUCUCUUCAAGAGAAAAAAGGUCCCAUGUAUUAAUAGAUUCAGAGUUAAUGUUACUAAAUCUGAAAGCUUAUAAUAGAAACUCUAGCACUAAAAUCUGAGUUUGACAUAUCCACAGCAGUAGGGUUUGUGAGAAAACCACUCUACUGAUAUCCUAAAGAGAUAACACUUGUAUAGCAACCAUAUCCUAACCAUUGCAGAAUGGUGGCCUGUGACAGAAAGCCAGGGACUCACUUGGUUUCCUUGUGCACCCAGUAAGGAGCUGCAGAGAAAAUGUAGGAAAGCUGAAAGACAGAAUGACUUUCCCUUCCUGAAGAAGCUGCUCAAUCUAUCAACCAAAGGUCAAAACAUCUGGUUUACAGAGCUGUUAGAUUAACCCUAGAACAAGGCAUAAGUCACCACCCAACUCAAAAAACAGCUCUUACAACUUUUGACUCAACUUUCCUGAUUUAUUAGCCUUUCUUUAACAAGGCUCCUACCACAUAUCAGCAUCUUGACUUCUAGAUUCUAUUCUUUAAUAGAACUCCAGCCACCCCCUCCCCCAAACGGCAAAAACCAACCCCACCAAACACACACACAACACACACACACACAAACACACACGCUCCUACCUUCAUUUUCCUCCAUCUACAUUGACAGUCCUGUGUAGUCACAGUCACACAGGAAGACUCAUUCAACUUACUGUGACUGAGUGGCCGCCCUCCAGCCCAUCACCCCACUGACUCAGAUCCCCAGCCCUCCCCACACACUCAGGAACACAUUCAUGAACACUCACUCUCAGCCUCCAAGUGUGAUUGAGAUGGUGUGAUAACUACCUCGGGUGACAGGGACUCGGGCCUAUGCGCAGGGGAACUCUCAGGGGAGGAUAUGUUCUAGAGGAGGGAAAAGCAUCUUGUUAUUAUUCAUCUACUCGAAGUCAAGAAGCAAAACAAAACAAAAAAUAAAAGCAAGCAUAGAUGUUAGCCAUAACUUUUUUCGGGGGCGGGGAAGUUGAAUAAGAAUGCAUAGGGGAAAUAUUUAACUGCAGAACUCAUCUCAAUGGACAGAAUGACUUGUUAAAAUGCUUCCUGGUAUCUCUGAAAGCAUUUAAGGAUAAAUUGGUUAUAAUGUUUCAUGCUGUAAGUAAACAUCUCAAGCACAUACAAGGAAAGAGUUAGACUGGUGAAAUUUUAGUGUUAUACGUCUUUGUAUUUUAGAUGAGAGUUUAGCAACCUACAGUAUUUGUUAUUGAGGGGCACCCUACCCCUUAUUCCUCCUUACAUGGACCUUGUUCCUUCAUCCAAUGCCUCUUCUGCUUGUCACAUUUCUUUAUUCUCUUAUAUGCCUCAGGCCCUCCCAGUGCUAUCCAGGGGGAGACAUUAGUGUGCUGGGGGCUGACAUGGUUAGGGAGAUGGCCAGUUCCUCUUGAAUGACAGUUACAGGAAAUGUGAUUGAUGGAAUCCCUAGCUCACAGGCUAGAGUUGGUUCUUGGCAUAAUCUAAUUAGACCUGAGCCACCCCUAUUAAUGUUAUUUUGUAAAAUCCAUUGUACUUUUGGCAACAGAGCAGAAAAAGCAUGUAUGUGUAUACUUAGGUCCCUGUAUCCUACAGAGGGUAGGACUUUACCUUGGGACUUUCAGGUGAGGCAGCAGUCCCAUAACAGAGACUGAGCAGUGAGUGCUUAAUGGAAAGAUGUAAAUGGGAACACGUGAAGAGAGUGAAGGUGGUAGUGUGACAAUGACUCAGGGGUGCUAGGGCUGAGGUAAGGAGAGGGUGCCUAAUGUAGACUCUGAAUAACUGUGGCCUAGGUGGCAGGCACAUGCUGAGGUAGGGGAAAUGAGGCUGCUUCAGCAAAGCAGGGUUUUGGCUGUGAAUUUUACUUGGCAUGGACAGUGGGUGGUGUACAUCUAGGUGCACGUAUGUGUGAAAUGGCGGGUGGAGUAUGGCUCUCAGGGCAAGAAUAGGAGGGGAGGGUUAUUCUGGUAGAAAGGAGAGGCUAACUAAGCUUGUCCUCCCAAUGUUGCUUCCACUCUUCUUUCUAGAUGCUUUCCCCUCCUGAAGAUCUUGUUCUCUUCCACUGUUUAUCUUCUUACCUUCUUCCCCUUAGCACUUAAGACUUCUCACCAUUUUCCUGAAUGCUUUUUUCCUUCUCAAAAAUAUCCUUCCCCAAACUAAUCUAGUAAGGUUGUUUUUUUUUUUUUUUUUUUUUUUUUGAGAGAGAGUCUCCCUCUGUUGCCCAGGCUGGAAUGUGGAAUGCAGUGGCGCAGUCUUGGCUCCCUGCAACCUCCCAGGCUCAAGCAAUUCCUUUGCCUUGGCCUCCCGAGUAGCUGGGAUUACAGGUGUGUGCCACUGUACCUGGCCUAAGCUGGUCUUUAAAUUAUUUUUAGAGAUGGGAUCUCACUGUUGCCCAGGCUGGCAUGUAGUGGCACAAUAAUGGCUCACUGCAGUCUUAAACUCCUGGUCUUAAGUGAUCUUCCUGCUUCAGCCUCCCAAGUAGCUGGGACUACAGGUAUAUGCCACUACACCUGGCUAAGUUUUGUAUUUUAUUUUUGCAGAAAUGUGGUCUCACGAUGUUACCCAGGCUGGUCUCAAACCCCUGGCCUCAAGCAAUCCUCCUGCCUCAGCCUUCCAAAGCACUGUGAUUACAGGUGUGAGCCACCAUGCCCAGCCUAAGCUGGUCUUUAUACGUGACACCUUUUUGAUAUUUCACAAUGUGUCACAGCCUUUGCUACAAAAAAGGCUCCCCACCUCUCUGUACUAGAAUACAGCAAAGAGUAUGGCCAUUAAAAUGGUGAUUAGAAUGGGUCAGGGUGGUGAAAUCUGUUCUAUUAUUGAUGAGAAAGGUAAAAUUUCCUUAAAUUGCAAGUGAAACCAUGCCUUGGACCUUUUACUAUUUAAUAUUUUCCUUCCCUCCUGGUAUUCUAACAUUAUGCAUGGACUGUAUUAUUAAAAUGAUCACCAAUUAAAAAAAACAAAACAAAACAAAACCAAAACCACUUUAUAUUUGCAGUGUUUAAUAGUUAUCCCAAAUGCUACAAGGGAUAAGGAACACACUGAGUACUGAACCCGCUUGUUUUGCAAAGUGACUUACCUUCUGAUUUUCUUUUUUUUUUUUU
rnacentral:lncRNA from 10 species